UACGGAGGAGGCAAGCGUUAUCCGGAAUUAUUGGGCGUAAAGCGUCCGCAGGUGGCUAUUCAAGUCUGCGGUCAAAGACUGGGGCUUAACCCUGGAAAGGCCGUGGAAACUGAAGAGCUAGAGUGCAGUAGGGGGUAGAGGGAAUUCCCGGUGUAGCGGUGAAAUGCUUAGAUAUCGAUCAAGAACACCUAUAGCGAAGGCAGCUUACUAGGCUGUAACUGACGCUGAGGCACGAAAGUGUGGGGAUCAAACAGG
rnacentral:rRNA from 1 species